GAGUUUUGAGGCUAAAAUCGCGUUUGGGGUCCACUUGGGGGAGCCCCGCCCUUUUCCCGCGGUCACGGCCCGCGUCCGCGGCCUUCAAACGUGGGGGAUGCUCAGGGGACCCGCGGUCCCGCCCCGCGGCCGCGGGUGGUGACCGCGGGUGUCUCCUGAGUCGGGAACAGCUGACCCGCGGUCUUACCCCGCGGCCGCGGGUGGUGACCGCGGGGUACUGGGCGUUUUGCACAGUCCGCUCGUUUUGCUCCGUUCUCCCUCGUCCGGACUCGGAUUUGGUCGCCGUUUGCGCUCACGGAUUCCUCUCGAGACGUACUUCGAUCUCAUGUCUUCAAAAUCCUCCAAUUAAU
rnacentral:lncRNA from 1 species